GACGAACGCUGGCGGCGUGCUUAACACAUGCAAGUCGAGCGGAAAGGCUCCUUCGGGGGUACUCGAGCGGCGAACGGGUGAGUAACACGUGAGUAAUCUGCCCUGCGCUCUGGGAUAGCCACCGGAAACGGUGAUUAAUACCGGAUAUGACCGCUACACGCAUGUGUUGGUGGUGGAAAGUUUUUCGGCGCAGGAUGUGCUCGCGGCCUAUCAGCUUGUUGGUGAGGUAAUGGCUCACCAAGGCUUUGACGGGUAGCCGGCCUGAGAGGGUGACCGGUCACACUGGGACUGGGACACGGCCCAGACUCCUACGGGAGGCAGCAGUGGGGAAUAUUGGACAAUGGGCGGAAGCCUGAUCCAGCAACGCCGCGUGAGGGAUGACGGCCUUCGGGUUGUAAACCUCUUUCAGUACCGACGAAGCGAAAGUGACGGUAGGUACAGAAGAAGGACCGGCCAACUACGUGCCAGCCGCCGCAGUAACAC
rnacentral:rRNA from 1 species